rnacentral:lncRNA from 1 species
AGGGCUGUUGUUUUUGCCUGUCAUGGAGUUCCGUUCAUUUUGAACAUGUCACCAGGGACUUUGGAAUGUGUAUCCAUAACUCCCUGAUUUUCAACCACAUUCCAGCCUGCCUGACUCAUGAAGCGUGGAGCGACCCAGGAACAUCCCAGCUCCUCAUGUCCCACAUUCUUCAGGCUUUCUCUUAGUUUUGGCAUGUGCAUGUAAAUGUCAACAGCUGCUUCUGCUGACUCCUCGUCUCAAUUAAUCGUGGCUCUGUCUUCCGUUUGCUGAAGCCAAAGACCUCCCCGCUCUCUCAGAGCCCACGUCUGGCACAUCAGCGAAUCUCGUUGGCACUGCCAUCAAACACAUCCAUCUAGGAUCUCCCCGCACCUCGCGCCACCCACCGCGCUAGUCCGUGGAUCCCUGUUUCUCUCGUGGAUGUAGUAAUGGUCACAUAGCUGGACUUCUGCCCUGGCACUUCUUCAGCCCCUUGUUAGAGGAAUCCUGCUAAAUGUUGGAUGAUUUACCCCCCACCUCCCACAACCCCUGUCACACACACAUAGGAGCUCCACUGGCUCCUCAUAACUCUAGGGUGCCAGCCUGUCUCUGCCAUGACGAAAGCCCCCCGUCAUCUGUCUCCUGCCCCUCCCUCGCUGACUCUAUCUGCCACCCUUUCCCUAUUGUCCACGCUGCCCCAGCCCCACAGGCCUCCUCCUGUUCCUCAGACUCCCCAGGGAUGCUCCUGCCUCAGGGCCUUUGCCCUGGCUAUUCCCUCCCGCUACAACACUCUUCCUGAAUCUGCAUGAUUCGAUGCCCACUCCCCCAUUCUCAGCCUGUCCCCAUAUCUCAGUGAGCCCUGCCUGGGCCACUCUGGAAAAUCUCAGCAUCCCAGGCUGGGCGUGGUGGCUCAUGCCUGUAAUCCCAGCACUUUGGGAGGCCAAGGCAGGCAGAUUGCUUGAGCUCAGGAGUUUGAGACCAGCCUGGCCAACGUGGCGAAACCCCGUCUCUCCUAAAAAUACAAAAGUUAGCCGGGUGUGGUGGUGUGCACCUGUAAUCACAGCUACUUGGGAGGCUGAGGCAGAAGAAUCGCUUGAACCUGGGAGGCAGAGGUUGCAGUGAGCCGAGAUCGUGCCACUGCACUCCAGCCUGGGCGACAGAGCGAGACACCAUCUAACACACACAAAAAAAGCUCAGUAUCAUCCUCCCAGCACUUCUUGUCCUCCUUGCUUCCCUUAUUUAUUUUUUUUUUUCACAUUCACACAUAUGACGAUCCAGCAUUCUACAUAUUUUAUUUAUCUUAUUUAUUUUCAGUCUUCUCCACUCAAAUGUAUGAUAUUUAAGGCAGGGGUUUUAAAAUGUCUUGUUCUCGGCCAGGCAUGGUGGCUCACACGUGUAAUCCUAGCACUUUGGGAGGCUGAGGCAGGUGGAUCACCUGAGGUCAGGAGUUCAAGACUAGCCUGGUCAACAUGGCGAAACCCGUCUCUACUAAAAAUACGAAAUUAGCCAGGCGUGGUGGCGGGCGCCAGUAAUCCCAGCUACUCAGGAGGCUGAAGCAGGAGAAUCGCUUGAACCUCAGAGGCAGAGCUUGCAGUGAGCCGAGAUCACACCACUACACUCCAGCCUGGAUGACAGAGUGAGACUCCGUCUCAAAAAAAAAAAUAAAUAAAUAAAUAAAAAUAAAAU